UGGGGAAUCUUGCGCAAUGGGCGAAAGCCUGACGCAGCGACGCCGUGUGGGUGAUGAAGGCCUUCGGGUCGUAAAGCCCUGUCAGGGGGGACGAAAUCCCGACGACCUAAUAUGUCGUUGACUUGACGGUACCUCCAAAGGAAGCACCGGCUAACUCCGUGCCAGCAGCCGCGGUAAUACGGAGGGUGCGAGCGUUGUUCGGAAUCACUGGGCUAAAGCGCGUGUAGGCGGCCUUCUAAGUUUGAUGUGAAAGCCCGGGGCUCACCCCCGGAAGUGCAUUGGAUACUGGAAGGCUGGAGUACCGGAGAGGAGGGUGGAAUUCCUGGUGUAGCGGUGAAAUGCGUAGAUAUCAGGAGGAACACCUGUGGCGAAGGCGGCCCUCUGGACGGAUACUGACGCUGAGACGCGAAAGCGUGGGGAGCAAACAGGAUUAGAUACCCUGGUAGUCCACGCCGUAAACGAUGGGCACUAGGUGUUCGGGGUAUUGACCCCCUGAGUGCCGCAGCUAACG
rnacentral:rRNA from 1 species